rnacentral:lncRNA from 1 species
GGCACACUCAGCGAUUCAGCUCUACAGUAUGCACUCUGGGAUCUCCCAUUUGCUAAGGAAAGAUCUUAGCUUUGAGAAAGUGGCAAGAGAUCCCCUCUUGAGGAGACUCCACAGGAACACCAGAGAUGAUAGUGACACACGACAACUGAAGGUCAGGCCACCUGGUUUCGUCUGGGAAAAAGUUACUUUCUUCGCUUUAUCUUCUUGAAUUAAAAUAAGGUAUGAGAAUCUGACCCUACAUAUCAUAGGUGACUUAUACAGUGUUCUUGGUGGGGGGAAUUCUGAGUGAGUCUGUUCCCCACUGAGGCUUGAUUUAAG